rnacentral:misc_RNA from 1 species
GAAAUGCGAUAAGUAAUGUGAAUUGCAGAAUUCAGUGAAUCAUCGAAUCUUUGAACGCACAUUGCGCCCGCCAGUAUUCUGGCGGGCAUGCCUGUUCGAGCGUCAUUACAACCCUCAGGCCCCCGGGCCUGGCGUUGGGGAUCGGCGGAAGCCCCCUGCGGGCACAACGCCGUCCCCCAAAUACAGUGGCGGUCCCGCCGCAGCUUCCAUUGCGUAGUAGCUAACACCUCAACUGGAGAGCGGCGCGGCCACGCCGUAAAACACCCAACUUCUGAAUGUUGACCUCGAAUCAGGUAGGAAUACCCGCUGAACUUAAGC